AUGCCUGCGCAGGGAGGGCUCAGAGGGGGCCUCAAGGUGGACACCCUCCGUGGGGCUCUGGCUCUUGCAGGAGGAGGGCUACUGCCAGGGCACGAGCGAGAUCGCGGCCAUCGUCCUCAUGUUCCUGCCCGAGGAGGACGCCUCCUGGGCGCUGGCCCAGCUGAUGACCGAAGACAGGCACGCCAUGCACGGCUUCUUCAUUCCAGGGUUCCACAAACUGCCGAGGUUCCAGGCCCAUCACGAGCACGUUCUAGACAGAGCUCUCCCCAAGCUGAAGAAGCACAUGGCGAGUGGAAGCUCCUAGAGGCUCUGUCCCUGUGGCCCGAGGCGAGGGUUGGGGGGCACAGCCCUUCUGAGCUGCCCAGAGAUUGGGGUAACGUUCCUCAUCUGGGGCCUGGGUGCAUCCUCGGGGCUGGGCAGGCAAUGGGGAGCAUGUCCACCUGGCGCCAGGGGCCACAGUGUGGGGCCUGAGCACCUCCUGCCCUUCCGCCAGGAUGAGGAACAGAUGUGCACUGGCAUUUACACCCCCAAGUGGUUCCUUCAGUGCUUCAUUGACUGGGUAAGACCACCCCAGGGCCCCCGCUCCCUGACCUGCUCCCUGACCCCGGGGAGAGGCCAGCUCAGCCCUACCCUCCAGACAAGCCAGGCCCGACCCUGGGUCCUGAGGCUGAGGCUCGCAGCCCAGACCCAUCCUGAAGAAGCCCAGAGGGUCCCUGGAGGAGGUUCCGGGGGGCGGGCCUUCUCUGCCUCAGCUCCCCCAGGGAAGGCUGGUUCAGCUGGAGCGUGGACAAGCCCUCGGCCCAUGCUGUGGCCAGCCUGGGGUUCUCUUGAGACAUGUUGUCAUCAAGAGGAGGCAGAGUCUGUGCCCCCAGGUGUGCAUGGGGUGCUGGGCAGGAUCGGAACCCAGAGUGGCUGGGAGCCCUGAUCUCCCUGGGAGAAUGGCACACACAGGGGGUGCAGUGGGGCCUCGUCGGAGGAAGCCAGGGGGCGGCAAGGGCUGUGGGCACAUGGGAGUCCUAGCCUAGCCCCAGCUGAGACCCCCAGGGGUCCUUGCUCAGGCAGCUCCUCCCACCCCGUUGUCCCCUAGACCCCUUUCUCGCUCACCCUGAAGCUCUGGGACGCCUACAUCCUGGACGGGGAGCAGGUGCUCACACUUAUGGCUUACACCAUCCUCAAGGUGCACAGAAGUGAGCCCCUGGGAGCCCAGGUGUGCCUAAGGGAGGGGGACAGGGGUGGUGACCCUGUGCUCUGAGCAGCACCCAGACCUGGGUGGGGGGACGGCAGGGCAGGUGGGUGUAGCGGGACUCCCUGAGAGGAGCAGCAGGCAGGGGCCACCCCAGCCGGCGCACUGCCCAUGGUGCUCCUGGGCACAGCGGGCCCUCUGGGUCUGACUUACACCCACCGCCCAGAGCGCCUCCUGAAGCUGCCCCUGGAAGGGCUCCGGGAGUUCCUGCAGGACUCUCUGGCCCAG
rnacentral:lncRNA from 12 species